rnacentral:sRNA from 1 species
GUCACCCCAGCGAAGGCUGGGGUCUUUCUGAAAUGGUGCGACUUGGCCGCGGACGACCCCAGCUUUCGCUGGGGUGACGUA